rnacentral:tRNA from 2 species
UGGGGGUAUAGCUCAGUUGGGAGAGCGCCUGCCUUGCAAGCAGGAGGUCACGAGUUCGAAUCUCGUUAUCUCCAU